rnacentral:lncRNA from 1 species
AGCUCGCAAGAGCUUCUUACCUGCGGAGGCUUUGCGUUUCCAGCCUUGCCCAGCACCACUCCAUGGACGCGCAGGCUCCGUCCCUACAACAACAGAUGGUGUGUUGAUUUCACAGACACCAGCAGGCAGCAGAAGUACUGCCCAGUAUGCCCACGUCCCCCCAGCUAACAGAAAGAGGCUACUUUGACAGCCCAAACACAAACCGAUUGAUAGUUCACUUCUCACUGCUCCUUCCUGCACUCCAAACGGAUGCUCACUUGACAUCCCCUGCAGCGCUGCACCCGCCCAGAAGGAAUACUCAAAAUUCAUUCCUCCACACUUCACGACAGAAGGCCGAAGAAACUCACUUCUGUAUGGCAUGAAGGACCGUCCGUCCCUGUUGCGUCCCUCUGUGCGCUGGAAGGCGCGGUCGGAUCUCUGGCAGCCUGCUGGCUGCUGCUCCCAACCGCGGGGAACCGCGCCGCGCCGCUUCUGAAGAGAGAAAGGAAGAAACGGUGGUGGGAACGGGCAGCCAAGGCUUGCAGAGAGGUUCCAGAUCGUGCCAGAGAGGGGAUAUCAGAGUGCUGAGACACUGAUUAUCACUAAGGGAAAAGACGGCCUGAGCCACGUCCGCGAUGUUAGCCCAGGCUGUCAGCAGUGAGCGCUGAAUGCAACCGGUUACUGAGGUCACCAAGGACCAGCAGGGCUCCCCCUGCUCCGUCCCUUCCCCUUGAGAGCAAGAGAAAGGAAGAACCAAGCAGAAGAAGCCCAGCCAUACCUUGCCACUCAGACGGCAGCAAUUGGAACCAUGAUCGUCUCUUUGCUGAGACAUGGCCGCUGAAAACUCAGAGGAAGCUGAAGUUCCCAGGCCUCUGUGCACAGGAACUUCCCCGGCCCUUGCAAAGAGCUGGCUUCCCUCUUCCUCCGACUGCCUCGAUCCCAAAAUCUCCCUUGGGACAGGAACCCUGCAGAGAG